GCGGAGGUGGAGCAAUGGUAGCUCACAAGCUUUGUCUGCUUGAGACGUGGUUCGAAUCCAACGCCCGCA
rnacentral:tRNA from 1 species